rnacentral:rRNA from 1 species
UACAGAGGGUGCGAGCGUUAAUCGGAAUUACUGGGCGUAAAGCGCGCGUAGGCGGUUUUGUAAGUCGGGUGUGAAAUCCCCAAGCUUAACUUGGGAACUGCAUUCGAGACUGCAUAGCUAGAGUAUGGGAGAGGGAAGUGGAAUUUACGGUGUAGCGGUGAAAUGCGUAGAUAUCGUAAGGAAGACCAGUGGCGAAGGCGGGUCUCUGGACAGUUCCUGACGCUGAGGCACGAAGGCUAGGGGAGCAAACGGG